AUUUAAGGCGAAGUGUACGUAAUUAAACUACACAAUGGAUUUUUUUUUAAAUUUUACAUGUAGAUUCUGCUUGUAAAAAUAAAUCGGAAAAUAAAAUAAAAAAGGGGGUAACCGUUUUCGUUUUUGAGAUACGAGCUGUUGAAGUUAACAGCAUCAUACACCAAAAUUACAAAGGAUAUAGGGAAAAUCGUGAAAUUCGGCAGGAAUUGUUACAUUUCCAAGAUUUUCUAUUAUAUUAGACAAUCGAUUUUUUUAAAAAUUUAUGAGACGAUUCUAAAAUGUCUGAGGAAUCGAUUGGUGCAAAGAAAGUCCUUAGCAACCGUGCUACUUUUCAAGCUAUACCCUGUUAAAGUUGAAUCUUGAGUGUAAAAAAACAAAAAACAACGACAACGUUAUUGACGUCGCCGCAACAGUUACGACGCAUCAUAUAGUUCUAUACUUGUAUGAAAUAUAUACCGUUUUGUUGGAGCUCGUGUUGCUCGGUCUUUAGUUCUUUAUGUUACGUUUUGUGUACUAUUGUAUUGUAUUUGUCUAUUAUAUUCGGGUGCGUGCGGAGAUCGCCAACUAGAAAACGGUUGACAUUUUCUUCUUUAUGAACAAGAACUAUUUUCGACCUUGGUGCCUUAUUUUUUUUGUUAAAAUCUAAACACUGCGACGUGUUUUCAAAAUCUUUGUUCCCAUAAAACUUCAUUUCAUCAAGGUCUCUUCUCAGAAUAUCAGCCAUCUGUCUAGCACAGGAUAACAAAUCAAUAUUUAAGUAAAUUUAAGCUGUGUGGUAAUUCUUAGUACAUUUGGGUAAAUUAAUCUUAUCUUUGUGCCGCAUAAGCAUCUCUAUAAUUCAACACAUCCCUGAGCCACGACAUUAUAUAUUUUAUGCAUUGCAUGCGCUUCUUUGUAUCACAAUCCAGACCGGCUAGUAACCGUUUUAUAACUUUACACGUCUGAAGACGAAUAUUUGCGUGAAACAUUUUUGUAUGAUUUUUAUUUCUGGAACAGUCCUUUUCCGAAAGUCGGGCUGGACCUUUACUUUUACAAAAUGUAUGUGCAUUCGGGAUUUACACAAAUUGUAACCCGAAUAAUUCAGUCGUAUUAUUCAGCUGAUGUACGACUGCUACAUUGCUCUUGUGGGAGAAAAUCGGACAUGGGAAGGGCUUGAAUUAUUCGAGUUACUCAAAUUGAAACUCGGGAAUAUAUUUCUAGCUGUUCGGAAUUCGCGGAAACAAAUGAUUGUAUUUUGUCAUUACGGUAUUGAAUCAAUAGAGAUACCAAUUAUUUCUUUUAACAAAUUCGAAUACCAGUCAGUUUAUAGGACUUCAGUUUGAAAUAGGGGCGGCAAUUCAUUCAUUUUAUCCAAUCAAUUGGAAGGGGGAGGUCAACAUUGAUAGUCAAAAAGCCUUGAAAUAUUCGAUAAAAAACGUUGAAUGUAAAUUAUAUGAACUCCAAAGCCUCAUAUUAUAAGACUAGUAAACCACAGGCUUCUCAAUAUUUGUAUGAUCAUGAACUAGGUGAAAACCUGGAGCUGACCGAGUGCGAGAUCCUCAUGGAUAAUCAUCGAGGUCGUUAAACACCCCUUGCAGUAAACUUUGGUUAAAUUAAAAAAAAAAAUUGAAAUGUAAUAGUCUGAGCACAUUUCACCUCUCAUUCCACUAAAUAUUAAUUUGCAGUUACAAGUAUCACAAAACUUCCCUGACCUCUUUUCUUUAACCAUAAUAGAAGGAGGAGGGAAGGAGGGAUCCAGAUCCCGAAAUCCCGAGCUUAAAAACACGAAAUCCUGAGGUCCCGAAUUUAAAAAAAAUUAAAUCCCGACUACCCGAAAUUCGAAAAUAGAAUUCCCGUAUCCCAAAAGGGUCAAUCCCGAAAUCCCGAGCUUAAAAACACCAGAUCCCGGAGUUCCGAUUAAGGUCCUAACCCUCCCCUCCCCC
rnacentral:lncRNA from 1 species